UUGCCCUUAGUUCAGUUGGUAGAACGUCGAAUUUUGGUUUCGAAGGUCCGUGGUUCGAAUCCACGAGGGUAAG
rnacentral:tRNA from 1 species